AGCGAACGCUGGCGGCAGGCUUAACACAUGCAAGUCGAGCGGGUGUAGCAAUACAUCAGCGGCAGACGGGUGAGUAACGCGUGGGAACGUACCUUUUGGUUCGGAACAACCCAGGGAAACUUGGGCUAAUACCGGAUAAGCCCUUACGGGGAAAGAUUUAUCGCCGAAAGAUCGGCCCGCGUCUGAUUAGCUAGUUGGUGAGGUAAUGGCUCACCAAGGCGACGAUCAGUAGCUGGUCUGAGAGGAUGAUCAGCCACAUUGGGACUGAGACACGGCCCAAACUCCUACGGGAGGCAGCGGUGGGGAAUAUUGGACAAUGGGGGCAACCCUGAUCCAGCCAUGCCGCGUGAGUGAUGAAGGCCCUAGGGUUGUAAAGCUCUUUUGUGCGGGAAGAUAAUGACGGUACCGCAAGAAUAAGCCCCGGCUAACUUCGUGCCAGCCGCCGCGGUAA
rnacentral:rRNA from 1 species